GCCCCGGCUGCCAUGAGUUGUGCGGAGGUGAUGUAUCACCCCCAGCCGUAUGGAGCGCCCCAGUAUCUGCCCAAUCCCGUGGCAGCUGCAACCUGCCCCACAGCCUACUAUCAUCCGGCGCCCCAACCUGGCCAGCAGAAAAAGUUAGCGGUAUACAGCAAGAUGCAGGACUCUCUGGAGGUCAACCUUCCCAGCAAACAAGAGGAGGAGGAGGAGGAGGAGGAGGAUGAGGAGGAGGAGGAGAAAGACCAGCCUGCCGAGAUGGAGUACCUUAACUCUCGCUGUGUCCUUUUCACUUAUUUCCAGGGAGACAUUGGGUCAGUAGUGGAUGAACACUUCUCAAGAGCUUUGGGCCAAGCCAGCACCCUCCAUCCAGAAUCUGCCAUUUCAAAAAGCAAGAUGGGGCUAACCCCCUUAUGGCGAGACAGCUCAGCUCUCUCUAGCCAGCGGAAUAGUUUCCCAAGUUCUUUUUGGACCAGCUCUUACCAGCCCACACCUGCACCCUGUCUGGGGGGAGUUCAUCCUGACUUCCAGGUCACGGCACCCCCUGGCACCUUUACUGCAGCCGACCCCAGUCCCUGGCCAGGACACAGCCUGCAUCAGACUGGCCCAGCCCCUCCCCCUCCUGUGUCUGAGUCCUGGCAUUAUCCUUUGGCAUCUCAGGUGAGCCCACCCUACAGCCACAUGCACGAUGUGUACAUGCGACACCACCACCCCCAUGCCCACAUGCACCACCGCCACCACCAUCAUCACCACCACCACCCUGCUGGCUCUGCCCUGGAUCCGUCGUAUGGGCCCCUGCUGAUGCCUUCAGUGCGUGCAGCCAGGAUUCCUGCUCCCCAGUGUGGCAUCACAAAGACAGAUUCGACCACAGUCACCACUGCUACCUCAGCGUGGGCCGGAGCCUUUCAUGGAACUGUGGACAUAGUGCCAAGUGCAGGAUUCGAUACAGCAAUCAUAAAGUAAUUAUUAAAAAUGUGCAAAACCUUGAAGAAUUCUUUCCAUAUGUCAUGCGUCCUCUGUCUUCAGCACCAAGACAAAAGCAAAGAAUCACCAUGGUACUGAUACAGUAUUAGCAAAUCAGGUCUCAGCGUGAAUUCGAGGACCCACUGGAAGAAAAUGCUGUCAGGAUCUUUCAUUCUGCAGUGGAACAUGACACAAAAGGGAAAUAGAGUCAAGCAGUUGGCUGGUGUUGAGAGUUUUCAGAGAGUGGAUCCUGGACAAUGAAGAAAACCACCCUUGUUUGUUUCCCCCUCAUCUGAGCCUUUCCCAAUGUGUAACUCUUUCUUUUGUUGUUUGCUUUGCUUUUACCAAUGCAACAGUUUAUCUCUGUUCCAUUUUGGUUUUUUCUUUUAAGAACC